AGAGCAGGGCUGUCUAUCCUGUGAUACCCUAAGGCAGGGAUGGUCUGUCCUGUGGUACCCUAGAACAGGGCUGUCUGUCCUGUGGUACCCUAGAGCAGGGCUGUCUCCCCUGUGGUACCCUAGAGCAGGGCUGUCUGUCCUGUGGUACCCUAGAGCAGGGCUAUCUCUCCUGUGGUAACCUAAAGCAGGGCAUCUUCACAUUUUCCACUCAGGGACAGGAUACAUGGCUCAGUGGUUAGGAACAUUGGCUACGCUUGCUGGGCACCAGGACCUGGUUCUCAGGAUUGUUUUGGAGGCUCACAGACAUCUAUAACUCCAGUCCCAGGGGAUCUGACACCAUCUUCUGUCCUCUUCAGGCACCAGACAUGCCCACAGCACACAGACAAACAUUCAGGCAAAAUAUCUAAACAACAGCAAAACCCCAACCACUAUCAAAAAAAAAUCCAUUUGUGACCCCGUUUUAUCCAAGAAAUUUACAUGUGAUCCUGAGUAAAUGGGGUGUAAAAUAGGUCAUAAAUAAACCAUUUAGGGACGAUAAAUUAUAAA
rnacentral:lncRNA from 1 species